GGCCUCAUAGAUCAGUAGGCUAGAGCGUUGGCUGUACUAAAGCCAUACCCUUGCUGGUGUGGGUUCGAAUCCCACCGAGGCCA
rnacentral:tRNA from 1 species